UACGUAGGGGGCAAGCGUUGUCCGGAAUCAUUGGGCGUAAAGCGCGCGUAGGCGGCCCUGUAAGUCCGUUGUGAAAGUCAAAGGCUCAACCUUUGAAAGCCGAUGGAUACUGCAGGGCUAGAGUCCGGAAGAGGCGAGUGGAAUUCCUGGUGUAGCGGUGGAAUGCGCAGAUAUCAGGAGGAACACCAAUAGCGAAGGCAGCUCGCUGGGACGUUACUGACACUGAGGCGCGAAAGCGUGGGGAGCGAACAGG
rnacentral:rRNA from 1 species